rnacentral:rRNA from 1 species
UGGGGACGACUCGUUGGGACCGCCUCUGCUAAAGAGGAGGAAGGAAUGGGCAACGGUAGGUCAGCAUGCCCGAAUUAUCUGGGCUACACGCGGGCUACAAUGGGUGGGACAAUGGGUAUCGACACCGAAAGGUGAAGGCAAUCUCCUAAACCCAUCCGUAGUUCGGAUUGUGGGCUGCAACUCGCCCACAUGAAGCUGGAAUCUGUAGUAAUCGUGUCUCAAAAUGGCACGGUGAAUAUGUCCCUGCUCCUU